AGAGUUUGAUCAUGGCUCAGAUUGAACGCUGGCGGCAGGCUUAACACAUGCAAGUCGAGCGGGGGAAGUUGCUUCGGUAACUGACCUAGCGGCGGACGGGUGAGUAAUGCUUAGGAAUCUGCCUAUUAGUGGGGGACAACAUCUCGAAAGGGAUGCUAAUACCGCAUACGUCCUACGGGAGAAAGCAGGGGACCUUCGGGCCUUGCGCUAAUAGAUGAGCCUAAGUCGGAUUAGCUAGUUGGUGGGGUAAAGGCCUACCAAGGCGACGAUCUGUAGCGGGUCUGAGAGGAUGAUCCGCCACACUGGGACUGAGACACGGCCCAGACUCCUACGGGAGGCAGCAGUGGGGAAUAUUGGACAAUGGGGGGAACCCUGAUCCAGCCAUGCCGCGUGUGUGAAGAAGGCCUUUUGGUUGUAAAGCACUUUAAGCGAGGAGGAGGCUACCGAGAUUAAUACUCUUGGAUAGUGGACGUUACUCGCAGAAUAAGCACCGGCUAACUCUGUGCCAGCAGCCGCGGUAAUACAGAGGGUGCAAGCGUUAAUCGGAUUUACUGGGCGUAAAGCGCGCGUAGGUGGCCAAUUAAGUCAAAUGUGAAAUCCCCGAGCUUAACUUGGGAAUUGCAUUCGAUACUGGUUGGCUAGAGUAUGGGAGAGGAUGGUAGAAUUCCAGGUGUAGCGGUGAAAUGCGUAGAGAUCUGGAGGAAUACCGAUGGCGAAGGCAGCCAUCUGGCCUAAUACUGACACUGAGGUGCGAAAGCAUGGGGAGCAAACAGGAUUAGAUACCCUGGUAGUCCAUGCCGUAAACGAUGUCUACUAGCCGUUGGGGCCUUUGAGGCUUUAGUGGCGCAGCUAACGCGAUAAGUAGACCGCCUGGGGAGUACGGUCGCAAGACUAAAACUCAAAUGAAUUGACGGGGGCCCGCACAAGCGGUGGAGCAUGUGGUUUAAUUCGAUGCAACGCGAAGAACCUUACCUGGUCUUGACAUAGUAAGAACUUUCCAGAGAUGGAUUGGUGCCUUCGGGAACUUACAUACAGGUGCUGCAUGGCUGUCGUCAGCUCGUGUCGUGAGAUGUUGGGUUAAGUCCCGCAACGAGCGCAACCCUUUUCCUUAUUUGCCAGCGGGUUAAGCCGGGAACUUUAAGGAUACUGCCAGUGACAAACUGGAGGAAGGCGGGGACGACGUCAAGUCAUCAUGGCCCUUACGACCAGGGCUACACANNNNNNNNNNNNNNNNNNNNNNNNNGAAAGACGUGAUAGCCUGCGAAAAGCUCCGGGGAGGCGGCAAAUAUCCUGUGAUCCGGAGAUGUCUGAAUGGGGAAACCCACUUACCAUAAGGUAGGUAUUGCAACAUGAAUACAUAGUGUUGCAAGGCGAACGAGGGGAAGUGAAACAUCUCAGUACCC
rnacentral:rRNA from 1 species